rnacentral:lncRNA from 1 species
AUCUCACCAUACUAUAUAAAGAGGUGACGAGAUUCACAAAUACAACCAUCAGCUUCACAUUACCAAACAGAGGAAAUGCAACUGCAACUGUUGCAUCUACACAAAACCAAAUAAACUAUAUGUAAUUAUAAUUGUUGUAUUUUCAACUACAUGCAUUUUUAACUACACUGCAUUUACAACUACAUCCAACCAAAUGGCCCCUUUUUUUGAUUAAACAGGGGUAUACCCUAUUUUAACAAAGUCGGAACAGAGAGUACAGGAGCAGUCUAGUAAGGCGAAAAAACAAAACGGCAAGGGCAGCAUGGGUUGUUCGCAAUCAAGAUCUUGGAGCAGGAACCCAGAAACAAAAAAACCACAAACCAAAAUCAAAACCAAAAAAAACCCCAAAAAACGCACACUCCU